rnacentral:rRNA from 1 species
GAUGAACGCUGGCGGCGUGCCUAAUACAUGCAAGUCGAGCGAACAGACGAGGAGCUUGCUCCUCUGACGUUAGCGGCGGACGGGUGAGUAACACGUGGAUAACCUACCUAUAAGACUGGGAUAACUUCGGGAAACCGGAGCUAAUACCGGACAAUAUAUUGAACCGCAUGGUUCAAUAGUGAAAGACGGUUUUGCUGUCACUUAUAGAUGGAUCCGCGCCGCAUUAGCUAGUUGGUAAGGUAACGGCUUACCAAGGCAACGAUGCGUAGCCGACCUGAGAGGGUGAUCGGCCACACUGGAACUGAGACACGGUCCAGACUCCUACGGGAGGCAGCAGUAGGGAAUCUUCCGCAAUGGGCGAAAGCCUGACGGAGCAACGCCGCGUGAGUGAUGAAGGUCUUCGGAUCGUAAAACUCUGUUAUUAGGGAAGAACAAAUGUGUAAGUAACUAUGCACGUCUUGACGGUACCUAAUCGGAAAGCCACGGCUAACUACGUG